CAGCCGCCGCGGGAAUACGGAGGAUCCAAGCGUUAUCCGGAAUCAUUGGGUUUAAAGGGUCCGUAGGCGGUCUUGUAAGUCAGUGGUGAAAGCCCAUCGCUCAACGGUGGAACGGCCAUUGAUACUGCAGGACUUGAAUUAUUGGGAAGUAACUAGAAUAUGUAGUGUAGCGGUGAAAUGCUUAGAGAUUACAUGGAAUACCAAUUGCGAAGGCAGGUUACUACCAAUUGAUUGACGCUGAUGGACGAAAGCGUGGGUAGCGAACAGGAUUAGAUACCCGAGUAGUCCCUGUCUCUUAUAC
rnacentral:rRNA from 1 species